rnacentral:rRNA from 1 species
CCGAUAGGCGUAGGCGAUGGACAACGGGUUGAUAUUCCCGUACCGGCGAAGAACCGCCCAUACCGAGCCCGGUGAUGCUCAGUGCCCAAAGCCGGCUAGAUCCCUUCGGGGACGUGCCGGUGGCGCGCACGAACCAAUCCGGUAGUAGGUAAGCGUAUUAACAGGGGUGACGCAGGAAGGUAGCCCAGCGUGGCGAUGGUAGACCACGUCCAAGGUUGUAGGGCGAGAUGUAGGCAAAUCCGCAUCUCACAUAGCCUGAGAACUGAUGGUGACCGCUUAUGCGGGACGAUUGGGUGAUCCUAUGCUGCCAAGAAAAGCCUCGACGCGAGGUUCUAGCCGCCCGUACCCCAAACCGACACAGG